rnacentral:rRNA from 1 species
CUACGUGCCAGCAGCCGCGGUAAUACGGAAGGUCCAGGCGUUAUCCGGAUUUAUUGGGUUUAAAGGGAGCGUAGGCCGGAGAUUAAGUGUGUUGUGAAAUGUAGACGCUCAACGUCUGACUUGCAGCGCAUACUGGUUUCCUUGAGUACGCACAACGUUGGCGGAAUUCGUCGUGUAGCGGUGAAAUGCUUAGAUAUGACGAAGAACUCCGAUUGCGAAGGCAGCUGACGGGAGCGCAACUGACGCUUAAGCUCGAAGGUGCGGGUAUCGAACAGGAUUAGAUACCCUGGUAGUCCGCACAGUAAACGAUGGAUGCCCGCUGUUGGUACCUGGUAUCAGCGGCUAAGCGAAAGCAUUAAGCAUCCCACCUGGGGAGUACGCCGGCAACGGUAAAACUCAAAGGAAUUGACGGGGGCCCGCACAAGCGGAGGAACAUGUGGUUUAAUUCGAUGAUACGCGAGGAACCUUACCCGGGCU